GAGAAAAUGGAGUUAAGUAGGCAAUCAAUAGCAUCUGCUACAAAAAUCGGUGGUUCUAUUUUUGCAGAUGUCAAGUUUAAUGUAUCUAUGAGACAUCCACAUGGAAAAGUCAAAAGGGCAACUGGAAAUGUUGAGUCUGAAGCUUAAAGAAGGGUCUCAGCUGGAAAUACAAAUUUGGAAGUGAAUAGCAUAAUGUGUGUAAUCCAUGGAACUCGGUUAGAUCACCCAGGAAGAGAACAUAGAGAAGAGGACCUUAA
rnacentral:lncRNA from 1 species